ACAUGCUUACAACUUAGUGUUAAUGCACCAAAUCCCAUUAAAACCCCAUAGUUAAGCAUGCUCGGGCUAGAGUAGCAUUGGGAUGGGUGACCACCUGGGAAGUACUAGUAUUUUACAUGCG
rnacentral:rRNA from 1 species